UCGCCGCCGACGACGUCGCGAGAAGUCCACUGAACCUUAUCAUUUAGAGGAAGGAGAAGUCGUAACAAGGUUUCCGUAGGUGAACCUGCGGAAGGAUCAUUGUCGAUGCCUGCAAAGCAGAACGACCCGCGAACCGUUUCUCAACACUCGGGAUGCCGGAGGGCGUCGAGCUCCCCGAUAUCCCGACGCUCCGGACGCCGGCGGUGCGAGCCACCGCCGGAGGAGGGAGCAUCCAACACAACCCCGGCGUGCAAAGCGCCAAGGUACUCCAACGGUAGGGCAAGCAACCGUCGCCCUGGACUCCAGCGUGCGAUCGGKUGGCUGUUCUGUAGCAUAAAUCUAACGACUNNNUCCCGUGAACCAUCGAGUCUUUGAACGCAAGUUGCGCCCGAAGCCUCGGCUGAGGGCACGCCUGCCUGGGUGUCACACGUCCCUCUGCCUCCAAAACCUUUCCCUCGCGUAACAUCGUGGCGAUGGUUUGGAUGCGGAAGAUGGCCUCCCGUGACCACGAGCCACGGAUGGCCCAAGUGCUUGCUGGGGAAGCGAAGCGCCACGGCUUUCGGUGGUCGGUACAGCCCUYGKGGCAAUGAAGCCCGCGGUAGCCGCGACGGUCCCCGGNGUAAAGACCCAAUCACUAACCAAUGCGACCUCAGGUCAGGCGGGGMUACCCGCUGAGUUUAAGCAUAUCAAUAAGCGGAGG
rnacentral:rRNA from 1 species